UUACGGCCAUAUGACGUUGAAACGCCAAUUCCCUUACGAUCACCGAAGUUAAGCAACGUCGAGCCUGGUCAGUACCUAGAUGAGCGACUGCUUGGGAAUACCAGAUGCUGUAA